rnacentral:lncRNA from 1 species
AGCUCCCCACCCACUGGAAUGACUAAAUGAUGAGCACACUGGCUGUCAGCUGCCAGUCUCAUGACCCCGACGGCACGCACUGAGCAUGCCCGAGCUGUCGUGUGUUGUCAGGGAGAAAGCAGACAGUGGAGACAGAGAAAAGCCAGACGAGAAACAGGGACGGCUAGACAAUAGGGGUACACAUUUCUAAUUAAGAUUCUUUGUGUCAGCUGACUCACUUAUAUAUAUAUGCUUCCUGGUGUGGGGAAUUUUGGGAUGUUUUGUUAAGGUUAUGACAUACGGACCUGGUUCAAAGCAUCUGCCUUGUCUUCAAGAGGUUAUCACGGAGACGAUUUUGCUAAUGGACCCCAGAAAAUGAAAUCAGCCCUUCCUUCAGCUUUGUUCAACAUGUGUUGACUUCCCAAACCAGCCUAGCCUAACCACACUUAGCUGGAAUGGAUGAAUGUGGCAGAGGAAACUCACUAGAGCAGCAUCUAUGAACAGCAUGAGCAUCGGUGGGCAAUUCUGGAGCGAUGAGGACUCGGAUGGCAACAGCGAUGGUGAGGAUUUCUUCUACGUGGCCCAGAGUGUGGCUGUCCCAGGCUCAAGAUCCACCAUGCACAUCACCACCAGACAGCUCAUUCAGCUCUUCUUCUCCUCACAAGCUCUUAUUCACUGCAAGAGCAUCCCAACCCUGGAGUACGGCUUCCUCGUACAGGUUAUGAAGUACUGA